UACAGAGGUCUCAAGCGUUGUUCGGAUUCAUUGGGCGUAAAGGGUGCGUAGGCGGCGCGGUAAGUCGGGUGUGAAAUCUCGGAGCUUAACUCCGAAACUGCAUUCGAUACUGCCGUGCUUGAGGACUGGAGAGGAGACUGGAAUUUACGGUGUAGCGGUGAAGUGCGUAGAUAUCGUAGGAAGACCAGUGGCGAAGGCGGGCCUCUGGACAGUCACUGACGCUGAGACGCGAAAGCGUGGGGAGCAAACAGG
rnacentral:rRNA from 1 species